CCUACGGGUGGCAGCAGUGAGGAAUAUUGGUCAAUGGACGCAAGUCUGAACCAGCCAUGCCGCGUGCAGGAAGACGGCCCUAUGAGUUGUAAACUGCUUUUGUACGAGGGUAAACGCAGAUACGCGUAUCUGUCUGAAAGUAUCGUACGAAUAAGGAUCGGCUAACUCCGUGCCAGCAGCCGCGGUAAUACGGAGGAUCCAAGCGUUAUCCGGAUUUAUUGGGUUUAAAGGGUGCGUAGGCGGUCGGAUAAGUUAGAGGUGAAAUCCCGAGGCUCAACUUCGGAAUUGCCAUUGAUACUGGUCGGCUAGAGAGUAGUUGCGGUAGGCGGAAUGUGUGGUGUAGCGGUGAAAUGCUUAGAGAUCAUACAGAACACCGAUUGCGAAGGCAGCCUACCAAGCUGCUACUGACGUUGAUGCACGAAAGCGUGGGUAGCAAACAGGAUUAGAUACCCGGGUAGUC
rnacentral:rRNA from 1 species